AAAUUUCAAUUCCAAUAAGGUUUUCUUUUAUACUUUAGAUUUAGUGCUCUUUCUCUCAGAUCGAAUCGCUUUUCGUUUAUGAUUAAUUAAGUUCUGUGCCCAAGGGCUAAUAGCGCGUAUUAUCUAGUAUCGAAUUUCAAACUAACAAAUACAUUCAACUACGCAGAAAAGUUAGCUUUUCAUUUUUAAUGGAACGGUACCAACGUACUUUAAGCAGUUUUGACUCCAGUUCAGCAAACUUUGUUUUGCAUUGUGUAAUGGUGUCGUCGAAAGCUUUCCAAACCUUAUCUAAAA